rnacentral:lncRNA from 10 species
CUUGAAUAAAAAGAGAAAGCAUGCCCUACAGAUCUCUGGAGAAAAAGCAUUUAGGGAAGAAGGAAUGGCAAGUGCGAAGGGCCUGAGGUAGGAAGUUGUCUGAUGUGUUCAAGGAAGAGGAAAGAAGCUUAUUUAGCUAAGGUUGCGUUCCCCCAGUAGACAGACACUGAGAUGGAAAUUUGCAUACCGAAGGUGGAUUGAGGAUUGUUUAUCUGAAAAAAACAUCUAUGGUGGAGUAAGAAAAAUCACGACUGGGCUAUGGAGAAAGCUGAACUGGGAUGCAGAACAGAAGCUUCAGCCUCACUCGUGGGGAGCUCUGGCGCUAAAAAAACUCAUCGAAGAUUUCCCAAAUUGGAACAAGGCCUCUGUACUCCUGCAUUGACCAGUCAUGUGCCACUGUCACAAUGCUCUCAUGCCAAACCUUGACUGCAAAGCUGAGAUGUUAAUAUGGAACACCUGAGAGGGCUGGCACUUCAGCGUCCUUAUUCCUCCAGAACCACACCACAAAAGUCACCUUCUCCCCAGACAGAUUCUCUACAAAAUGCCUUGCAGCCGAGGUGUGGUGGAAAGAAUAUUGUAUUUGGAAUAAAAAAUUUUUGAUUUUGCACCAUCA